GACGAACGCUGGCGGCGUGCUUAACACAUGCAAGUCGAACGGAAAGGCCCUGCUUUUGUGGGGUGCUCGAGUGGCGAACGGGUGAGUAACACGUGAGUAACCUGCCCUUGACUUUGGGAUAACUUCAGGAGACUGGGGCUAAUACCGGAUAGGAGCUCCUGCUGCAUGGUGGGGGUUGGAAAGUUUCGGCGGUUGGGGAUGGACUCGCGGCUUAUCAGCUUGUUGGUGGGGUAGUGGCUUACCAAGGCUUUGACGGGUAGCCGGCCUGAGAGGGUGACCGGCCACAUUGGGACUGAGAUACGGCCCAGACUCCUACGGGAGGCAGCAGUGGGGAAUAUUGCACAAUGGGCGGAAGCCUGAUGCAGCAACGCCGCGUGCGGGAUGACGGCCUUCGGGUUGUAAACCGCUUUCGCCUGCGACGAAGCGUGAGUGACGGUAAUGGGUAAAGAAGCACCGGCUAACUACGUG
rnacentral:rRNA from 1 species